GGGGAAUAUUGCACAAUGGGCGAAAGCCUGAUGCAGCAACGCCGCGUGAGUGAUGAAGGUCUUCGGAUUGUAAAGCUCUGUCUUUUGGGACGAUAAUGACGGUACCAAAGGAGGAAGCCACGGCUAACUACGUGCCAGCAGCCGCGGUAAUACGUAGGUGGCGAGCGUUGUCCGGAUUUACUGGGCGUAAAGGGUGCGUAGGCGGAUGUUUAAGUGAGAUGUGAAAUACCCGGGCUUAACUUGGGUGCUGCAUUUCAAACUGGAUAUCUAGAGUGCAGGAGNGGAGAUGAUCNAGUGUAGCGGUGAAAUGCGUAGAGAUUAGGAAGAACACCAGUGGCGAAGGCGAUUCUCUGGACUGUAACUGACGCUGAGGCACGAAAAGCGUGGGUAGCAAACAGGAUUAGAUACCCUGGUAGUCCACGCCGUAAACGAUGAGUACUAGGUGUAGGAGGUAUCGACCCCUUCUGUGC
rnacentral:rRNA from 1 species